rnacentral:rRNA from 1 species
GAUUGAACGCUGGCGGCAUGCCUUACACAUGCAAGUCGAACGGCAGCACGGGUGCUUGCACCUGGUGGCGAGUGGCGAACGGGUGAGUAAUACAUCGGAACAUGUCCUGUAGUGGGGGAUAGCCCGGCGAAAGCCGGAUUAAUACCGCAUACGAUCUACGGAUGAAAGCGGGGGACCUUCGGGCCUCGCGCUAUAGGGUUGGCCGAUGGCUGAUUAGCUAGUUGGUGGGGUAAAGGCCUACCAAGGCGACGAUCAGUAGCUGGUCUGAGAGGACGACCAGCCACACUGGGACUGAGACACGGCCCAGACUCCUACGGGAGGCAGCAGUGGGGAAUUUUGGACAAUGGGCGAAAGCCUGAUCCAGCAAUGCCGCGUGUGUGAAGAAGGCCUUCGGGUUGUAAAGCACUUUUGUCCGGAAAGAAAUCCUUGGCUCUAAUACAGUCGGGGGAUGACGGUACCGGAAGAAUAAGCACCGGCUAACUACGUGCCAGCAGCCGCGGUAAUACGUAGGGUGCGAGCGUUAAUCGGAAUUACUGGGCGUAAAGCGUGCGCAGGCGGUUUGCUAAGACCGAUGUGAAAUCCCCGGGCUCAACCUGGGAAUUGCAUUGGUGACUGGCAGGCUAGAGUAUGGCAGAGGGGGGUAGAAUUCCACGUGUAGCAGUGAAAUGCGUAGAGAUGUGGAGGAAUACCGAUGGCGAAGGCAGCCCCCUGGGCCAAUACUGACGCUCAUGCACGAAAGCGUGGGGGAGCAAACAGGAUUAGAUACCCUGGUAGUCCACGCCCUAAACGAUGUCAACUAGUUGUUGGGGAUUCAUUUCCUUAGUAACGUAGCUAACGCGUGAAGUUGACCGCCUGGGGAGUACGGUCGCAAGAUUAAAACUCAAAGGAAUUGACGGGGACCCGCACAAGCGGUGGAUGAUGUGGAUUAAUUCGAUGCAACGCGAAAAACCUUACCUACCCUUGACAUGGUCGGAAUCCCGCUGAGAGGUGGGAGUGCUCGAAAGAGAACCGGCGCACAGGUGCUGCAUGGCUGUCGUCAGCUCGUGUCGUGAGAUGUUGGGUUAAGUCCCGCAACGAGCGCAACCCUUGUCCUUAGUUGCUACGCAAGAGCACUCUAAGGAGACUGCCGGUGACAAACCGGAGGAAGGUGGGGAUGACGUCAAGUCCUCAUGGCCCUUAUGGGUAGGGCUUCACACGUCAUACAAUGGUCGGAACAGAGGGUUGCCAACCCGCGAGGGGGAGCUAAUCCCAGAAAACCGAUCGUAGUCCGGAUUGCACUCUGCAACUCGAGUGCAUGAAGCUGGAAUCGCUAGUAAUCGCGGAUCAGCAUGCCGCGGUGAAUACGUUCCCGGGUCUUGUACACACCGC